rnacentral:rRNA from 1 species
UAGGGAAUAUUGGACAAUGGGCGAAAGCCUGAUCCAGCAAUGCCGCGUGAGUGAUGAAGGCCUUAGGGUUGUAAAGCUCUUUUACCCGGGAUGAUAAUGACAGUACCGGGAGAAUAAGCUCCGGCUAACUCCGUGCCAGCAGCCGCGGUAAUACGGAGGAUGCAAGCGUUAUCCGGAAUGAUUGGGCGUAAAGCGUCCGCAGGUGGAAAUGCAAGUCUACUGUUAAAGAGUGAAGCUUAACUUCAUAAAGGCGGUGGAAACUGCAUAACUAGAGUACGUUCGGGGCAGAGGGAAUUCCUGGUGUAGCGGUGAAAUGCGUAGAUAUCAGGAAGAACACCGGUGGCGAAAGCGCUCUGCUAGGCCGUAACUGACACUGAGGGACGAAAGCUAAGGGAGCGAAUGGGAUUAGAUACCCCCGUAGUCC